CGGAGAGGGCGCAUGAGAAACGGCUACCACUUCUAAGGAAGGCAGCAGGCGCGCAAAUUACCCAAUCCCGACUCAGGGAGGUAGUGACAAGAAAUAACAAUAAACCGGCUUAUGCCGGUUUAAUUGGAAUGAGUACAAUUUAAACAUCUUAACGAGGAACAAUUGGAGGGCAAGUCUGGUGCCAGCAGCCGCGGUAAUUCCAGCUCCAAUAGCGUAUACUAAAGUUGUUGCAGUUAAAAAGCUCGUAGUUGGAUUUCUGCGGGGACGGAGCGGCCGGACGCAACUUGCGUCUCGAGCUAGCGCUUUCCCCGCAUCCUGCCGCGAACCGUGCUACCAUUAGCUUGGUGGCGCUGGGGAUCGGCUCGAUUACUUUGAGAAAAAUAGAGUGUUCAAAGCAGGCCACACGCCUUGAAUAAGUUAGCAUGGAAUAAUGAUUAAGGACUUCGGUUCUAUUUUGUUGGUGUUCGGGACUGAAGUAAUGAUUGAUAGGGACAGUUGGGGCGGUCUGUAUUCCAAAGCGAGAGGUGAAAUUCUUAGACCUUCGGAAGACAAACAGCUGCGAAAGCGUUCCGCAAGGAUGUUCCCUUUGAUCAAGAACGAAAGUUGGGGGGUCGAAGACGAUCAGAUACCGUCGUAGUCUCAACUAUAAACUAUACCAGCUAGGGAUCGGCCAACGUUUAACUUUAUCGACUUGGUCGGCACCUUAUGAGAAAUCAAAGCAUCUGGGUUCCGGGGGGAGUAUGGUCGCAAGGCUGAAACUUAAAGGAAUUGACGGAAGGGCACCACCAGGCGUGGAGCCUGUGGCUUAAUUUGACUCAACACGGGAAAACUUACCAGGUCCAGACAUAGGAAGGAUUGACAGAUUGAUAGCUCUUUCUUGAUUCUGUGGGUGGUGGUGCAUGGUCGUUUUUAGUCGGUGAAGUGAUUUGUCUGCUUAAUUGCGUUAACGGACGAGACCCCAGCCUGCUAAAUAGCGCGGCCGAGCUUUGCUCGGUGCGAGCUUCUUAGAGGGACCAUGAUGCGCGAUAGCACAAGGAAGUUUGGGGCAACAACAGGUCUGUGAUGCCCUUAGAUGUUCUGGGCCGCACACGGGCUACACUGGCGCCUGCAACGAGCAUAUCAGCUGGCCCGAGAGGGUCUUGGCUAAUCUUUGGAACCGGCGCCGUGCUUGGGAUUGACCAUUGCAAUUGUUGGUCAUGCAACGAGGAAUGCCUUGUAAACGCGAGUCAUCAGCUCGCAUUGAAUACGUCCCUGCCCUUUGUACACACCGCCCGUCGCUCCUACCGAUGAAUGUUCCGAUGAAAUUUUCGGAGAGCGCCAGAGAACGGGGCCCUGCCUUGCAGAUCUGGAGGCUCAAAGUCACUUAAAUCUGAACAUUUCGAGGAAGGAGAAGUCGUAACAAGGUAACC
rnacentral:rRNA from 1 species